UACGUAGGGUCCGAGCGUUGUCCGGAAUUAUUGGGCGUAAAGGGCUCGUAGGCGGUUUGUCGCGUCGGGAGUGAAAACCUCGGGCUUAACUCGGGGCUUGCUUUCGAUACGGGCAGACUGGAGGUAUGCAGGGGAGAACGGAAUUCCUGGUGUAGCGGUGAAAUGCGCAGAUAUCAGGAAGAACACCCGUGGCGAAGGCGGCUCUCUGGGACGGUACUGACGCUGAGACGCGAAAGCGUGGGGAGCGAACAGG
rnacentral:rRNA from 1 species